AUGAAGAGGGAUUUUAAAGAAGAGCAGGCUCGGUUCCGAGAGUUUCUCGAAAAUCAGACUCGAAAAACAGGCCUAGCCGCGAUAAAGGAUAAAUUUUCUAGCUUGCCAUCGAAUUUUUCCUCUCGGAGGAGCCAUUAUAAAGUUGCAGAUAGUGAUUUUGACGAUUCAAAAGAAAAUAUGAACGAAUCGAAACAUAUCAAGCCAAGAAAUAAAAUUGACUGUCACAGAUCCACCAGACACACCAUUGACUUAAUUAACGAAAGAAGACUCGAUCUAAGGAUGUCCAAGAGCUUCACUGGUGGGAAAUCCUCAUCGCCAAAUGCUCAAAAUUUUGAUAUGUCCGACGAUCUAGACGAUAUACGACUCAGUUGUUUGACAAAACCGCAGAAAGGUACGAAAGAUAUUCCAAUGCCUGAUUUUAGAAAUUUUGGGAGGACGAAUAAUGGGUCCAGCGCUGGGGCAGCAUCAUGGCACUCGCAGAACUCUGAGCAUCGUAAACAUUCUCCAUUCAUCGAUGAAUCUGAACGGACUUUUAAGGUAAAAAAGAUAUCGAGUAAUUCAGAGGGACCGCACAUCGGUCCACGAUUAUCUCGAUCACGGGAUUCUAUCUUGAGCGAGGACACAGUAGACCUACCGUCUGAACCGAGACAAAAGACAAAGACUCGUGUUUCAGAUGUUGAGUACUCCAGACGUAAUAAGGCGCAGAACGGUCCGUCUGGAAUGUCGGAGGGCAACAGACUCUCAAGAUCAAGAGACUCGAUUUUAUGCGACGCCAAGAAUGAUCCGCCUCCACAAACAACCACGAGCAACAAAGGUAAAGCUCGAAGGAGCUCGUACGACAGUUCAACUCUUCCACAGUCAGGACUGAAAGCUUUGCCGCUGACAGACCUCAAUUUCAAACGUCAAUUUAACAUUUCGACGGGAAAAACUUCGGUAUUCAAUGAUAAUGUAGUGCAAUCAAUACCAAAUGACGUAUUAGCAGACGAACCUCUUUUCAAUUCGUCGGAUAAAGAAGAAGUCACGAUCAUAUUGGCAACACCGGAAGGCUUUGAGGAUGACAUUGGAGAAAGUGUUUCGGAAUGUUUUAAAGUCACUGAUGAGCAACUAAAUACCGGGUGUAGCUGUGAUAGCAAGCCGGCUUUUGGAGUCGUGGACGGACUCAAUAAUUUCAACAAAAAUAUGGAUUUCAUGGUCGAGCUUGGAGGCGGUCGCGACGAAAAAGGACCAAGAAAUCGAACUUUUUCGGGCACCGAAAAGAAUUCGAAGGGAAUCAAGACGUCAGGGAGUCUAGGCGAUAUUAGUCGAAGGUUUAGUUUCACAUUGAGCGCCCCUGAAAAGUUCCAAGGCGGUGAUUUAGAAGCCUCAGGCGAUAGGUUAAGUCCUAAUUUAGGAGUCCCGGAAAAUUUUAAAGAUCCAAGCAAAUCACCUGUUCCUAAAAGGGAUGGAAAAUAUUGCGCUAUUGACGGUGGAGCAGGAGAGAAAUUUAAUUUCAACCAAUUUGCCCCUGAAAAGUUUGAAUGGCCGCGUAGUAUAUCCCCAAACUCUGUCAAUAAGAAAAUACUAGAUGGACCUGCUGAGCUCUCUAAAUUUUCAUUCAUGAAUGCAUCUCUUGAGAGUGGAUUGAAAACGAAUAAUUUAAGAGGGAGGAAACACAGCUUUACUUUUGGGACUUCUGAACGCUUAAAUGGCAGUCCGUUGACGCCUGAUAAACAGAGUGAAUCCAGGCAAAGAAAAUUUAGCUUUUCGUCUGAAACUACAAGGAAGUUUAAUGACAGUGUCCCAGCGGUGCCGAAGCUAGAAAAUAAUCUUAAGAGCGAGCAAAUUCAUCUUUGGCUGAAUCAUCAAGGAAGUGCAAAGUUUGAGGAACCCUUACUACCCAAUAAGGGACUCGCGUCAUUUGGAGGUAUAGCGGUCGUUGACAAAAAGAACCAAUUUCAAGAUUCUUCUGAUAAGUUCAAAAAUGGUUCUCCUCAGAAAGGACUGAAAAACCAUCAGGGCAAUACUGCUCGCUCAAUCAGAAGCCCCGACGGCUGA
rnacentral:lncRNA from 1 species